rnacentral:RNase_P_RNA from 1 species
AGAGUAGGCGCAGGUGGUUGCGGAUGGGCGUGCUAACCCGUCUGAGGAAAGUCCGGGCUCCCGAAAGACCAAACUUGCUGGGUAACGCCCAGUGCGGGUGACCGUGAGGAAAGUGCCACAGAAAGAUACCGCCAAACUUCGUCCUGAGUCCUAAGUCGUGAGUCUCUUUAAACUCAGCACUCAGCACUCAGGGCUGUUUUGGUAAGGGUGCAAAGGUGCGGUAAGAGCGCACCAGCAGCGUCGAGAGGCGCUGGCUCGGUAAACCCCGGUUGGGAGCAAGGUCAGAGGAACUACGGUUGGUCUUUUACCCGUUCCGUCGAGAUGUACCGCUAGAGGCGUCUGGUAACAGGCGUCGGAGAUAGAUAGCUGCCUUCUUAGCUGCGCGUCAGCUAGGAAAACAGAACCCGGCUUAUGUCCGACUCUCUCC